rnacentral:tRNA from 1 species
GUUAAGAUGGCAGAGUUUGGCAAUUGCAAAAGAUCUAAAAUUUUUUAUUCAGAGGUUCAAAUCCUCUUCUUAACU